rnacentral:pre_miRNA from 12 species
UGGAGCUCCUGCCCCGUCGGCCCAGUGUUCAGACUACCUGUUCAGGACAAUGCCGUUGUACAGUAGUCUGCACAUUGGUUAGACUGGGCAAGGCACAGCA